rnacentral:rRNA from 1 species
CCAAUAGCGUAUAUUAAAGUUGUUGCAGUUAAAAAGCUCGUAGUUGAAUUUCGGGGUCAGUAGGUUGGUCGUGCCACUGGUAUGUACUGGUCUCACUGAUUCCUCCUUCCUGAUGAGCUGUAAUGCCAUUAAUUUGGUGUUGCGGGGAAUCUGGACUGUUACUUUGAAAAAAUUAGAGUGUUUAAAGCAGGCUAACGCUUGAAUACAUUAGCAUGGAAUAAUGAAAUAGGACGUUCGAUCCUAUUUUGUUGGUUUCUAGGAUUGACGUAAUGAUUAAUAGGGAUAGUUGGGGGCAUUAGUAUUCAAUUGUCGGAGGUGAAAUUCUUGGAUUUAUUGAAGACUAACUACUGCGAAAGCAUUUGCCAAGGAUGUUUUCAUUAAUCAAGAACGAAAGUUAGGGGAUCGAAGACGAUCAGAUACCGUCGUAGUCUUAACCAUAAACUAUGCCGACUAGGGAUCGGAUGAUGUUAAUUUUUUAAUGACUCAUUCGGCGCCUUACG